CCUACGGGUGGCAGCAGUGAGGAAUAUUGGUCAAUGGACGCAAGUCUGAACCAGCCAAGUAGCGUGCAGGAUGACGGCCCUCCGGGUUGUAAACUGCUUUUAGUUGGGAAUAAAAGGGGGCUCGUGAGCCCCGUAUUGUAUGUACCAUCUGAAUAAGGAUCGGCUGACUCCGUGCCAGCGGCCGCGGUAAUACGGAGGAUGCGAGCGUUAUCCGGAGUUAUUUGGUUGAAUGGUUGCGUAGUCGGAUUUUUAAGUCAGCGGUAAACUGUCCGGGCUCAACCCGGGCCGGCCGUUGAAACUGGGGAUCUUGAGUGGGCGAGAAGGAUGCGGAAUGCGUGGUGUAGCGGUGAAAUGCAUAGAUAUCACGCAGAACUCCGAUUGCGAAGGCAGCAUACCGGCGCCCGACUGACGCUGAGGCACGAAAGCGUGGGGAUCGAACAGGAUUAGAUACCCUGGUAGUC
rnacentral:rRNA from 1 species